rnacentral:rRNA from 1 species
GGGGAAUCUUGGACAAUGGGGGAAACCCUGAUCCAGCCAUGCCGCGUGAUCGAUGAAGGCCUUAGGGUUGUAAAGAUCUUUCAGCUGGGAAGAUAAUGACUGUACCAGCAGAAGAAGCCCCGGCUAACUCCGUGCCAGCAGCCGCGGUAAUACGGAGGGGGCUAGCGUUGUUCGGAAUUACUGGGCGUAAAGCGCACGUAGGCGGACCAUCAAGUUGGGGGUGAAAUCCCGGGGCUCAACCCCGGAACUGCCUCCAAAACUGCUGGUCUGGAGUUCGAGAGAGGCGAGUGGAAUUCCGAGUGUAGAGGUGAAAUUCGUAGAUAUUCGGAGGAACACCAGUGGCGAAGGCGGCUCGCUGGCUCGAUACUGACGCUGAGGUGCGAAAGCGUGGGGAGCAAAC